AUGUUGGCUGUUAUUGCCUUCUUGUCCUUUGACACACAGAACCUGAUAGUUUCAAACUGUGUAUGCUUACCCAGGCACUUGACAGUACUUGGGAUUUCAGUGCAAUAUGCAAGAACCACAUGCUGAGGUUGAGGCAAGGAGUUGAAGGUGCACAGGAGAUGUGAGAACCUGACCAGAUGAAGGGCCUAUAGCUGGCACACUGACAAUGUCAGUGCACAGCUCUGCAGAGAUUUAAAACUACACAGGAAGAUAACUGUGACCUAGCCACACACCUUCCUUUGCCAUGUCUGGGGGAAGGAGACUCACUGCAGUUAGUCUGCAGAGAUAGUUAAAAAGCUACAGGUCAUCAUCAUUUUCUCCUUGCUCUGUGAAAUACAAAGCCACAGUCCUGGCUGGUGGUAGCUAGCACUUGCAAAGAAAGCUACAUGUACACCUCAGCUAAUGCUGCACAUGUAGCUUUGGAAAAGAUUUUCAUGAAGAUGUGAAGCUGCUAAAUUGAAAGAAGGGGCAGAUUAACACUGGGAAGAGACCAAUGUAAUUAUACGUAUAUAUAUGCUUUAUACAACAUUUUUUGGGGGGCUUUUAAAGGGCCAGAGCAUCUAGAUAAUCCUUUAUCUCCUCAGAAGCUAAGGAUGUAAGUAGCUUCUACUGUGUCACUGCCACCUUCUCACAGAAUGCUUUUGACGGACACCAUUCAUUCUGCAACUGCAACCCAGGCAUUGGGUGUUCCCAAGAUUUUCCUUGGCAGGACUGUAUCUAUGUUCUCACUCCCAGGUAACUGGACAGUAAUUAGGAAAAGGCUAUGCCUCACUGGUUUUUAAAGGCAGAAGGUAUGUGACACUUUACCUUUUUAAAAUCGUUAAAGAAUUAUAGCAGUCAUUUUUGGCUGGGAAACUGCAGUAUAAGCAGUGCUAAUCUUAAAGCAUUAUAUAUUUUGAAUUCAGGAUUAUAAUAGGCUAGGAUAGGAAGAAGAGAAAAUUGUAAAGCUUAACAUGAAGGAAUAUUUAAUUUUAUUCAGGAAACUUUUUGGCAAAAAUCCUCUGGAUCUGCAGAGAACCUACAGAUUUAAGAUGUCUUUGCACAGCCAGAGGCUGAGAUCAUGGCUGUCUAACUACAGUUGGAUAUUCUCAUAUCUGCCAAGUUUAGCCUUAAAUAAAUAAAUGAAAAAAAGGUCAUGCUUCAUGCUUUGUUCAAACUCUUGAAAUGGUUCUAACUUAAUAUUCUAGAGGACAGUGACCUCUCUUUGAAGAUUCUGUCCUUCUGCUCAAAAUCCUGCAUGGAACCAAGAAAGUAGCUGUUUAAAUGAAGACAUGAAUUGUCUGAAGGUACUUUCUGGAAUCCCUUAAAAUGACCCUGGUUCAAGAAAUAUGCCUUACUUAUUGCCAGGAGUGCAGUAAAGUCAAUCACUGGAAAUCUAUUAGCUGUGGGCAAUUGCAAGCACGUUACCCAACAUUAACCCACAAAAAAGAAAAUUAACACAGUUAAGAGUAGUUCUUGCCAGAGAAAGAUGAACAAAUAGGAGCAGAAGCUGAGUGGGAAGCUUCUAGCAGCAGGAGGAGGGAACUGUAAAGAUCAUCUGUUCAGACAUGCUUUUUUAUUUCUCCUCCUGCAACUCCCCAGGUAUCUCUCUCUCUCGCACUCAUUAUUUUAAAGAGACAGAUGCAAAUGUACCUAAUAGCUACUGUGAAAUCUGUAAUAACAAUCAACUAGCCAGGAGGCAGGUUUCAAGGACCACUGUGAUUGAGGGUAAUGUUUUUACAAUGAGGUCAUGUCCAAAGGCAGCCUCAGCUGAUGGCAAACUUGUACUUGAGCACUGAAUAAGCACCUUGUCUUGCAUGGUCCCUGCUUCAGAGAGGAAUCUAGGCUGCAAUCUAAUAAAUCUGGCACACACAUACAUGGCUGUAUUUUUAAAAUUGCUCAUUUUAUGGUUUUUGGGUUCGUUUUUAUUGUGCAUUUGAAGUCAUUGUAUUCUUCUUUCUUUACCUCCCUCUACUUACUCAUCUUUUCUCUUAAUACUUCAGCAAGCCAGUUUUGUCUAAAGUGCUUUUUUUUUAACUCACAGAAGUACUAUCAAGUUGUGUGAAGACAAAUGCGAGAUCAACAGAAGGGAAGCAGGAAAUGGGGCAGAGUGUGUUUUCUGAUGUAUCUGGAAUAUUGCAUGGUACAGAAAGUUAAUUUUUAAAUGAAUGAGCUGGGCUGGACUAUAUAAAUUCCUUAACUACUUGGAUAUCAGCUGGAGGAAAAAUCAUGUCAGGUCAUCACUGGAAACUGCUGGCACAGCUCUGAUUUUCAGGAACUUUCAGUCCUCUUAAAUGUCCUCAUUUUAUGGGAAAAUCAGAGACAUUAAGUAAGUGCAUAAAAGGGGAUGCCAUGGUGGUGCUGUUACUGUACAGGUGUGGUACCAGGGGUUGCUAGAGAUGGAACGUGUCUAGAGCAUGGCAUUUGUAAAACUUCAAAAGUUAUUUCUGAAGUCCUGUUUUUAAUACUUGUAAUGAUAUGCCUACACAUUAUUUAUAU